CCAAACUUGGUCAUUUAGAGGAAGUAAAAGUCGUAACAAGGUUUCCGUAGGUGAACCUGCGGAAGGAUCAUUAAAAAAAUUGCCCAAGACAUUCGUGUCCCAAGGCCCCACACUGUGUGCACCGUUUAUUCGUUCUUUAGCAGGGUCCUUGGGUUUUUUUCUCUUUGGGUUUGGCCCAACUUCUCUUAGACUCUAUCCCUUUCCCCUGUGGAUUGGGACAGUCGAACAUGGGAAGCAGUUACCCUGCCAAGUAACUCUUCAAACACGCAUUUUUGUCUGAAAUAUCGUUUUUUUUAUUGCGAUUUAAAUAACGCAUAAUAAAAACAUAACUUUCAACAACGGAUCUCUUGGCUCUCGCAUCGAUGAAGAACGCAGC
rnacentral:misc_RNA from 1 species